AAGCUUCUUCACUGCUUGCAACCCGACCCCCACAAAACUUUGGCCCAGCAGCUCCGCCCACCGCGGCUGCGGGACUCGGAGCGGCUGCAGGACAGCCUUGGAGGCCAGACGGCAGCCCACCUCGCUCGGCUUGGGGGCCUGGCGCUGGGCUCUGCUAGCGGGGAGGGAGGGGGGUAGGGAGAGCGAAUGGAAUUCGGAGGACGCUAGGACCGCAGCUUGUCUGCCGCCGCCUGCUCCUCUGGGGCGAGCGUUCCUGGGGGCGGGUCCAGGCAGCCGGGGCGGGGCGGGGUUGGGCAGUUUGCGGGUCAGUCCGGGACCGGGUUGGAACGCGGCGCUCGGGCCGCGCGCGAGAGCGAUUGCGAGCAGAGCAGAGGCAACGGCUCGCGCUCUCGGGGGACCAACAACGGAUUCGCCCCUCCCCCCCCCACUCCAUUGGUCGCGCCUAGUUCCAGCUCCCGCUGCCGGCUGCGCUUCACCGGGACCAUCCGUCCCGCCCGCCUCUCCGAGCCCGCUACAUGCUCAGGUUGUAUGAAGACCGGAAGCCUCCUGUCCGGAAUACCAUCAAAUUCUGAAUUUAAACUCAACAGAAAU
ensembl:lncRNA